CCGGUGCCCGACAAGGGCUUGAAUGGGAAUGUGGUGCAAAUCCACGGCUGUCCCUGCAACUGUAAGCGGAGAGCGCGCGGCACACGCCCCCUGACCGGGGCAGCCACUGGAUCUCGAUCCGGGAAGGCCGUGCCGCGAUCGCGACGACCCGCAAGCCAGGAGACCUGCCGGCGC
rnacentral:ncRNA from 1 species